ensembl:lncRNA
GUCCCAGUCUGUCCCAAUCUGAAGCUGUCCGUCCCAUUCUGUCCGUCCCAGCAGCAAGACGGAGGCGUAACUUGUAGUGGGCGUAACUUGUAGUAGGAGGCGUAACUUGUACUAGGAGGCUUAACUUGUACUUUUCUAAAUCGCGGUCCACGAGAGAUCUUCUCUUUUCGCGGUAAAAAAAGCGCCUUGUAAAUCACGGUUCACACGAGAUCUUCCUUGAAGUCGGAUCUUCAGAUAUUCAUGUCGAGUCUGACUUCACCCACGACGCCUCCUGCCUCAGCGAAUGCUGCAAAGAGAGAGAGGAGAGAGAGCAUUACUGCCACUGCCGCUAGUAUUUCUUUUAAACGUCAUCUACCAGCUCCUAUGAUCUAUAGUACAAACACAUGAAUGUGUUUGUACUAUUGUGCCACUGACUCUCUGGCCUGACUUUCCCCCGCUGUGGAGCAGCGCUGAACGGGGUCGUCCACGAUAUGGAGCCGGUGGGCCGGGGCCUCCGCCUCGUUACCCUGAUGGUGGGCAGCAAUGGCUUCUACAAGAUUAGCAAGAUGGCUUCUACAAGAUGAGUUUUCAGCGCUUUUACGGAUAUCUCGGGAUACUCCGCUUUGGUUUUGUUCCAAAAACCCGCCAGAGAGGUUAUUAGCUAUUUCGAUCAAUUGAUCUUCCUUCUGCACUGACAAGUGAUUCGGGACAUUGACAAAUGGGUUGCGGAUCCACUCAUUCGUUUGCCGUGGAUCUUUGGAGGAUGGGAAGUAACAUUUGAAUUCAUUUGAAAGUGCAACAAGGUGAUCGCGCACCAGCUGCGAUAGAAUGGGCCCUGCCUCAGUCUCUCCUAAAAUCCCCACUAAUGUUUGGAAAAUAUCGAAUACUCCCCUUUCCACACGUUGUCCCCACAAAUCAAGCUUGGCUUUAAAUGCAGCAACUUUAUCUGCCAGUUUAAAGACAGUCGUCAUUCUCCCCUGGAGUGUCAGGUUGAGCUCAUUAAGCAAUCCGAAUAUGUUACACAUGUUAGCCAGUUUGGACACCCAGUGCUCAUCACUAAAAUGUGCUGCCAAUGGUGACUUUUUUUCUGUAAAAAACCUCUGCAGCGGCUCUCGCAACUCAAACAUCCUUGCCCCUGCCCCUUGACAGCCAUCUGACAUCUACAUGCAAGAGAAGGUGUUUCUGUUCUGCGUCCAUUUCUUCACAGAGAUGUUCAAAUAAACGAGAGUUGAGUGAGUGUGCUUUGAUGUGGUUGAUUAUUUUAACUACAUCAUUUAAUACCCCAUUUAACUUGGGCGACAUUUUUCGGCAAGCCAGCAUUUCCCUGUGAAUGACACAGUGUGUGGGCUCGCAGUCAGGUGCAACCUCUCUAACCCUUGCAGUG